UACGUAGGUGGCAAGCGUUGUCCGGAUUUAUUGGGCGUAAAGCGAGCGCAGGCGGUUUCUUAAGUCUGAUGUGAAAGCCCCCGGCUCAACCGGGGAGGGUCAUUGGAAACUGGGGAACUUGAGUGCAGAAGAGGAGAGUGGAAUUCCAUGUGUAGCGGUGAAAUGCGUAGAUAUAUGGAGGAACACCAGUGGCGAAGGCGACUCUCUGGUCUGUAACUGACGCUGAGGCUCGAAAGCGUGGGUAGCAAACAGG
rnacentral:rRNA from 1 species